rnacentral:lncRNA from 1 species
UAAUUCCAUCUAUCCACAUUUAUCCAUCCACCCACCCAAGUUAAUGGAUGUAAAUUUAAAAGAUAAAGAGAGAUAAGUCAUAGGAAGAGAUUGGCAGCAUUAGGGAAUUAUAAAAACAGUAGACUACAGGAGUUCUUUUGCUUCCUGUGUCCUAAUCCACAUCCAUGAGAAUAUUUAUGAGUACAAAAACUACAUACUAAUAGGGCUAAAAUAAGAUGAGAUGCAAAGGAACAUCAGUGCAAACAUGGUGUUUCAUCUAUUUUUUCAUUUCCUCAUAUUUCAGACAUUAUUCGCAUUUGUUUAGAGAAAUGAUGGCUACAGACUGCAAGAUGCCUUACUCAGAGGAGAGAGAGGGACCAGUGUUGUAUGCUUGAGAUGGACUAAUUAUUUCUGCUGUUAUCUCAUCUCCCAGAAGAUCAUUUUCUCCGAAGACACAUGUUUUCUUUAUGAAAGGAAAUAAGCAAAAUUAAAAAAGAAUUAUAUCAUGGAAAGAAUUAGCAUUGUGUUUGUGUUAAGCAGAAACAAAUAUUAACUUGGAUUGUUUGGGAAACCGAGCAUAUAUUAGGCAAGUUAUUCUGAGUAAAAAUGAAAAGAAAACUUUUAAAGGAAGGGCACUUAAAAC